GUCGGCUAUCUAGUAUUUUUAUAUAUCUGUGGAUCACGGUCUUAGAAGAUAAGGUCGGACAACUGAUUCAUUAUCAGCAUUCCGCUUAGUGAGGCAAAUUCAUUUCCAAAUGUUGCCACUUUACAAUUGAGCGCUACCUAUUACAGACGUUAUUUGAGGUUAUGGCGUUAUACUAGUUUAAUGCCCGGUGCGGAGGUGUGCCCGUAGACAAGUAUACAAGUGCCCCGGUUGCAUAAAAGCUUAUAAAAAAUAAAAAUCAUUCGUCGUUAAAUAGUAAAUACUUAAAUAUUAUGUAACAAUUAAUUAGCUCAUCGUGAUCGCACAUUAGUCAUUAGUGAUUUUAAAGAUUUGUUAAAUCAGUAUUCAUUUUUAAAAUUAAAAUAACCAUGAAAGCAUGAACCCAAUUCCCAAACAUCAAAUCUGUGACGAUGAGUUCAAAUACGUGUGUGGAUGAAGAAUAUUUGAUAAAACUGUUUUCAAUUGUUUUGAUGAAAUUGAAAAAGUAAAUGUUUGGGUGUAUCAAUCGUCCUUUAGUUUUCAUGUUAACUAAUGAAGCACACAUUUGUUCGGAAUAAACUUGUGGUGUUACAAAAGCUGACUUACAAGUAUUGCAAUCACCAAUGUAUUUCAAUAUUUGUUUGGAUAGAUACCCUAUAAAAGAACUAUUCAAAUAAUUUGAGAGAUCAAGAGUUGAUUGGAUUGUAACUCUCAAACCACAAGCUGUGCUACUGGUUAAAAAUUCAGAUUUUUUUAUUUUUCCAUCGAUAUAUUCCUUUUCCCAAUCAUUUAACCAAGUCAAAAAGGAAUGAAGAAACUGUAUUAUAUCCAGUACAUAAACAAACAAAAACAAUGAAGUAUGAUUAGUUAAUUAUUAAAUAAUAAUUUAUUAACUAAGUAUAAUAAAUAUUAAAUUUGUAUUGCA